rnacentral:rRNA from 1 species
UACGGGGGGGGCAAGCGUUGUUCGGAAUUACUGGGCGUAAAGGGCUCGUAGGUGGCCAACUAAGUCAGACGUGAAAUCCCUCGGCUUAACCGGGGAACUGCGUCUGAUACUGGAUGGCUUGAGUUUGGGAGAGGGACGCGGAAUUCCAGGUGUAGCGGUGAAAUUCGUAGAUAUCGAGAGGAACACCGGUGGCGAAGGCGGCCAUCUGGACGGUGACUGACGCUGAGACGCGAAAGCGUGGGGAGCAAACAGG